UACGUAGGGGGCAAGCGUUGUCCGGAUUCAUUGGGCGUAAAGAGCGUGUAGGCGGCCAGGUAGGUCGGUUGUGAAAACUGGAGGCUCAACCUUCAGAGGUCGACCGAAACCAUCUGGUUAGAGUCCGGGAGAGGAGAGUGGAAUUCCGUGGUGUAGCGGUGAAAUGCGCAGAUAUCAGGAAGAACACCCGUGGCGAAAGCGGCUCUCUGGAACGGUACUGACGCUGAGGAGCGAAAGCGUGGGGAGCAAACAGG
rnacentral:rRNA from 1 species